rnacentral:rRNA from 1 species
UACAGAGGUCUCAAGCGUUGUUCGGAUUCACUGGGCGUAAAGGGUGCGUAGGCGGUCGGGUAAGUCUGUUGUGAAAUCUCCGAGCUUAACUCGGAAACUGCAGUGGAUACUAUCCGGCUCGAGGAAUGGAGGGGAGACUGGAAUACUUGGUGUAGCAGUGAAAUGCGUAGAUAUCAAGUGGAACACCAGUGGCGAAGGCGAGUCUCUGGACAUUUCCUGACGCUGAGGCACGAAAGCCAGGGGAGCAAACGGG